UGGGUAAUGAACUCCCAAUGCCCUUUUGCAGGGACCUGAGGGACCCCCACCGCCUUGGUGUGCAGACCCGAAAGGUUGUGAAAGUUGUCUCAUGGCGCCACCUGGUGGAAUUUUCGGACAGGAGCAGGAACUCCCUUCCUGCAAAUAUGCUACAAAUGGAUUCUUCUGCCCUCCUGCUCCCGCUUUGAGCUCAGCUGAUCCUGAGAAAUCACUUUCUUCUGACGAAGUGGCUAAAAUCUGGACGCUGUCAGCAAGGGAACAUACAAGCCAACCACAAGUGCCUCCGACAGCGUGUUCCUUUUCCUGUGAUAGUUGUUCUCAACCUAGCCACACCACCAGUUCAUCUGGGCAGCUUUAAAACAUGCAGCCUGCGUUCCAGUUCCAGAGCCAUGAGCCAGCCCUCCUCCAGGUGGGAGCUGCCCUGUCCCUGGGGAGCAGGGUUUGUGGCUCCUUCCCUCUCACAUGCCAGACUGAGUUUCUGAGGGCAGGGAUCAUGCUCAGCUCUUUUUUGUAUUCCCAGUCCCAGACAGAGGCCCUGGCCUUUUGUCAAAACUUGAGGACUGCUCUGCAAACUGCAUGAGAAGGCAUGAGGCACCAGCCCAACUAAAGGGAGGAGGGGACCCCAAAAACAGAGCCCAUUCUUCCUGCCUUGACUGGGUUGGAUCCUGGUGACUGCUCUGUCACCUGUGUACUCAGGGACAUUAUUCUCAAGUUGUAAGUGCAGGCAGCUCUACCCCGCAGCACGUGUGGGAUGAAGAAGGAAGGAAGAAAGAAAGAAAGGAGGGAGGCGGGGAGGGAGGGAGGAGUGAAAGAACCUAGGUCAAUAGUAUAAAUGUAGCCCUGAGCCGGGGGUCCCAAGGCUCCCCGUGACAUCUGCCUGUAUCCCAGCAUCUCUUUAAAUGAAGAAGCAGCCUUCCUUGAAGACCCACCAGGUGGGAACUGCUGCCCACUCCAGAAGCCUGGGGAGGGCUUCUCUCAAGACUGUGGUGUUCGCGCUUCUCUCUUCCCUCCUCUGCUGCACUUGCUUUUCCUUGGAGUCAAGUGACAGGUCAGGCUCAGCCCAGGGUGCAGAGGGUACAGUGACCCUGGGACACGUGGAUGUCGUGGGAGUGACUCAUUGUGGCCUCACAGCUCAGGAAGGGGGUGCACGUGCUGUCUCCUUGCUUCUGCCUUAUUCCAGGGGAGUUAGACUCUUGCCUUUUGCUCCCAAGCCCUUGAGAAACCAGGGCCGGAUCUACUUGGGAUCUAACUACCAGUGCCCUAGUUAUGCAGGAGUUAGAAACUCAAAUGCCCUCAGGGACCAGAUAGGUGCCAGAGAGCCGUGUGAAGCAGCUGGGUCCCAGGCACCAGGGAGGGGUGCGGUCUGUGGAGGACUGGGUGGGGCAGACCCUCCUAAAGGCUUCAUCGCACUGCACAGCACCUUGCGGGGUAAGGCUGCCGCCCCUGCAGCAGGGAUAUUGGUGCUCCUUCUGGCUCAGAGCAGGCCCUGGGGUCUGUGUUCUGGCUCCUCCUCCCCCAGGAGCUGCGUGGACUCAGGGAAUUUAGCCGCUCCACUAAGCCUCAGUUUUCUCUAUAAAUGGGGGAAAUAAUGCCCCCUCUUGGGGUUGACGUGCAGGAAAAGGGGAAGUUUUAUAUUCCUUAUGUAUUCCAUAACAUGUUCUUGAUAUAGCACCUCUAUUUGUUUUCUAUGCCGUGUCACAAGUCACCAAAAAUUUAGCAGCUUCAAACAACACGCAUUUAGUAUCUCACAGUUCCUGGGCAUGGCUUAGCAAGUCCUCUGCAGAGCUGCCAACAGUGCCAGUCAGAGCUGGAUUCUCAUCUGGAGGCUCGACUGGGAAGGGUCCACUUCCAAGCUCCCUAGAAAGAAUAAGCUGCGCUUUCUUGCAGGUAUAGGACUCAUUGCAACUUGUUUCUUCACAGCCAGCAAUGGAGAGAGACUCCAGAGCUAGCUCUAGACAUCCCCUCCCCUUUGCCGUUUUCUGUUGGUUGGAAGCCAGUCACAGGUCCCACUCACCAGGGGAGGGGAUCACAGAAACGCAUGAACACCAGGAGGCUGGGAUCAUGGGGUCAACUUAGGUCCAUCCACCAUAGCACCUGAUAGCUUGAUGGCCACGAUUACAAUUGAUUGGGUGCCUACCAUGUACCAGGCAGGGUGUAGAGGAUUUCACACAUGUUGUCCCAUCUAUUUAAGUUGUUGUAUUGAUAAACUAAGACUCAGAGAGGCAGGCAACUUACCUGAACUCACUCAGCUGUUAAGUGGCAGAAUUUAAACCCAGGUCCCUCUGCUCCCCAUUUCUUGGGUCUUCCUUGGACAUUACACUCAAGGCCACGGUCAGCAUCAAGCUGUCCCUGAGGAGCCCUCCAACACCUUAAGGUACUUGUUUCAGAAGUCACUUAUCUCCCUGGGUUCAAGUCCUUUAACUUGUUCAAUCAGGCCCUGUCCUUGGCUGCUGAGUCUCUGUCUCACCUUCCUUCGGCUCUGUCCUCAGACGUCUCUAGAAAUGGUUCAAGCUUCUUGUCCCUUGAUUUGUCUGUCCAAUGAUUCUUCUGUCUCCUCUCAACUCCUUCCUGCUUUAUCAGCUAAUUCCACAAAUAGCCACUGAGACUCCCUUCUGUAGGAAGGCCCUGUGCUGGGUGCCGCCCUCCAUCUUCCCACAAGGUUCUUACAGUCUAAUGAAGAGGCGGCGUGUGCAACACUAACUCCACUUCAGCAGUUCAGUGAAAACAACACCAUCUUUAGACAAUAGAAAAGUCAUUUUCUCUCUGUAAGUUAGGAGUAGAGAAUACAGAGGGGGCUUAGGUACCUUCACAAGGUGAUCAGGAAUGCAGACCCCUCAUCCAGCAGCUGUGCCUCAUCGUUCAAGAUGGCUGCAGAGCUCCAGCCAUCAUGCUGUCAUUCCCAUCAGCAGGAAGAAGAAAGAGGCGAAGACAAAUCAUCUGUGACCACCCAGACGAGGUUAGAAGCUCCAUGAAAUCUGGCGUCGUGUCUGUCUUCUUUGUUGUUCUAGUUCUGCAGUCCACGGCAGUGCUUGGCAUGUAGUAGGUGCUCCAUAAGUAGUUACUGAUGGAAGGAACACUCAAGAUUGUACUUUAAACAUGCUCUUAAUAUUGGGAUGAGUCAGAGUUGGCCUGGCCCAAAUCUGGAAUCUUCUGAAUUGAGUCUGUGAUGAUGAGUGCUGCUAAGGGCUGUACAUACAUGACCUGGCUUAAUCCUCAGCAGAACCCUGAGAGGAAGAUUCUGCCAUUUUCUUCAACUAGCAAAUGAGAAGACAUCAUGAGAUUGUGGAACUACUAACAGAAAGCUGUGAUUCGAACUUGGCUCUCCAACUCAGAACCUCUAUUCGCUUACCUAGUGACUUUCCAGGACACCAGGGUGACCACAGUCCCCUCUAGACCCCCCUCCUGCAGCCCUGGCUGGCUCCCUUGAUUGCCAGCAGGCAGCUCAGUAGCCAUGUGUUCAGUCACAGGUGCUGAGGAAGCAUCAUACACUUGGCCCCUUGUCCUGAAGUGGGGCUUCGCCUGCAGAAAAUGGAGGAAGGAAGGGCAGGAGGUGCCAGCAUCAACUGGGAGAAUUCCAGUUCUCCAGUGCUCCUCAUCCUCUAGCCGAUUUCCAGGAGCCUUGUGGUCCGGGGGUUCUUUCAGAUUACAGAGGAGGGCAGGUGGGGCUGCUGUGGUCUAGGAGGAGGGUAGGGGCAUGCCUUGCAGUGGGUGCUGUGUGUCCUGUGGCUUCCAUUUCUGCCCGCUUCUUGGCAGGGCCUGCCUGAUAAGGGGGAGAUGAUAGGAAACUGAUACCCGCCUAUGCUGGGCCCCCUUGAACCAUGUGGGGCUUACAGAGCCCCUGGGCCAUGGAGCGGUUCUGAGGGACACUGGAGGAGGGGUUCUAGCUUCUCCCCUCAGACUCCACAGAAUACCCCAGGUAGGGACUAGAUUCUGGCUGGAGUCAAGGCACUCAGAGCUCUGCUGGGCAAUUUGGUCCAAGCCUCUGUUGCACAGAUGGGACACAAGGCCAGUGAGGCAACAGGCUUGCCAAGAUCACACAGCCCAUCAGUGUCAGAGCUGGCGCUGGCUCUCUAAACUGGAUGCGCUCUGUGGCUCCUUUGACUGAACAGUUCAUCUGGCCCACGGGCCAUCCGAAGGGCGUUUGGUGGAGGGUACUAGUUUGACGCCUUGCUUGAAGUUUGACGCCACAGCUCUGCUGUGGAGGUCCUGCUGGGGCCAGCGAUUUCUGGUCAUGGCUGCCAGAAGGUGGCGCUAGGCACCCAGUUGCCACUUAAUUUCCAGAAAAAGAAAAUGGCAACCCGGGGUCUGGGUGUAAUUAGGGCAAGAGGCCAGCUUUAGAGCUCAGCUUCCAAUCACCCUUCCACCCUGGCAUGCUUGUGCAUGGGCACCCAGGGGCAGGGGAGGGACUGGAGAACACACAUUGGGUUCCUCUGGUCCCAGACCCUUUGGAAGGUUGCAGUGUGGGCAGUGAAUGGGUGCCCAGGUGUGCUCCAUUUACACAUCUUGACUAGAUGAUAAUCAGAGAUGGAAUAAAAGCAGCCGGGAUGGAUGGGUGCCUCUCUCCAACAGCGAGACUCAGCCUGGGCCCCAGCUCAGGCCUUUUCACCUGGCUUAGCUCCCUGGCACAUCCCCUCGCUUGGCACAGGGCACUUCGUCCCCUUCUGGGGCAGGGCCAGAGAGCUCAGGAUGCCCCUGAGAGAGGCUGUCUCAUUCCUGGGAACUUCCCCUCCUCCCUUCACCUUUCCUGCGCUCUCUCCAUCUCUCCUUCCUGUCCUCUCCCCUCGCUCAUCUCUCCUGCCCCUUCUUAUCUCUUUCCUCAUGCUCACCUUGUCCCAGUUCCUCCAGGGACCCUGCAGGUCUAGCCCCCACCCCCAACACCUCAUCUGCAGAGGCAAACAGGGACCAAUACCAGUGAGUUUCUAGGAUGUGGUUUCCAUGGUGACGGUACAUCUCCUGCCUCCUUGGUGCUCAGCCCUGAGCAGAUUGCCGUGGAUACUCUCACCUCAUUGAGGAGUGAUUUGUGGGACUGUUUUUCUUCUUUACUUCAUCUUCUCUCCAGACAUUCCGCUAGCCCAGACAGCAUUUUCCACCCUCAUGGCAAACCUGGAAGCCUUCUCCAAAGGGCUUCCCACCCAGGGCCACUGAGGCCUGGAAAGCAUUUUAUUUAUACGAGGUAUUCCUGGUAACCUUCUCCGCCUUUCAUAGGGUGCGUGAGUGGUCACCACAGAGAAACAGGCCAAAGCUGACCCGGUCCCCACCUUUUCUGCCCACAGUGUCCUUCCAGGCCCCUGACUUGUUCCAUGCCGCCAAUGCAUGCCAACCCUGAGAGCUUCUGCUCGGCGGCCAUUUUCCUUAAGAGUCUUUGGAGAAAGAGUGACAGUGAGAGGGUGAGGUGGGAAUAAUGAGCAAAGUGAAUCCAGGCAAAAGAGGUAGGUUAGAAGAGGGAGAAGUACCGGAAAGGUAGGAAUGAGAGGUGGGCAGACUGGGGGAGUUCGAAGGGAGAGGGAGGGGUGGAGGGUGAAAGUUGGUCACCAGAGAAAGCCAACCCAUGAGUCCGCAGCAGGAGUCCUCUGGUGUUAAUGCCCUUUAUAAAUCACUCCGCGGCCCCAAACCCAAAACAGGCCUCUUCUUUCUCUGCCAAGUAGAAAAUGUGUUCGUCGACAUAAAAACGUAUUAAGUACAUUGUGGCCCUCGUUCCCCCCAAGUUGAAAGCCAUUACAAUAAUUAAUUAAGGCAGGAGAUUAAUUAAAGAGUCGUUUCCCCCCAUUCUCCCUGAAUAGAUCAAUCAGGAGGCGGGAGAACAUGUGCUACUCGGCAGACAGAGAAGGGGGGCUGGAGGGGAGGCCGAGGGGCAGCAAGGCAGUUACAGACAGAGCUAGAGACAAAGGACUUCCGUGCUGGGGGCUGGGGGCUGGGGGCUGGGGGCCGGGGCUGAGAGGAGCUGGCAAGGAGGCCCCCAGGAGGGAGAGCUUGCUCUGCUUCCAAGGACCUGUGAUCUGGCUUCCCGUCUUGGUGUUCACAGUGUGAGGGUCGCUGUCACCAUGGAAACAGGCAUGGGGACAGGAGGAAUAUCAGCUCUCUGCUCCUGGACUCCUGGAUUCCCCUCUGGGAGUGAGAGUUCCCAGUGAGCAGAGUUAAGGCCCCAGGAGGCCUUUCUGUGGAGUGGCAUGAGGGUUGGUGGCCUCCUCACUCCAGUGCCAGGCCUAAAACCAACUCCACACGAACAUUGUCAGGCUGAUGACAAGCCUGAAAGUUCUGUUCCUCACAUGUGCCACACUGCAGACAGGACAGGCUAGUAUUAGCUCAGGCUGAGAAUCAUUAGUCUUUUAGGUAACUUUUCUCAUUUUGCUAAAUUUUGAGUUCUUAAUGAUUGCUUUCUCCCUUUCUCUCUCCCUCUCUUUCACUCUCUUUCUUCCUCUUUCUUAUGCCUUUGACCGAUCUAUUUUCCAGCUGAAUUUCAUAUUUCUAAGAAAUGUUUAUAUCAUGUAGUGUGUUUCAUGUGUGCAUAGUGGGUUUAACCCAUUCCACCCUGUAUCUCUGUCUUGCUUACUUUUGAGCCUUCCAGAACUUCCUGAUUGAUUUGUUCAGAAGCACUGCUCUUAUGUUUCUGUAUUUUGUAUGAUAUUUUUCAUAUUUCUAAUAAACAUUAU